GCGGUGGCCCAUGGCCGGGACCCUCCAAGGAGGACAGGGCCAGGUGCGCCCUCCAGGAACAGGGACCAUUAUCAACCAAGAACUGUUGCUUCUGACCUCUGAUCCAGACCUUGACUCAGGUGAUGGCUGUUGGAGAUGAGGGUUGGAUAGCACCCCAAGUAGUGAUUUUCUUCAUGCCUAAGGGCCUGAAAUGAGGAUUUCAUGAAAGUGAUGCUUCAUUACGUACCGUGCUCUUCUUUUGAUACCGACAAGCCAAGCACAGGUUAGAAUGUUGAUGAAAUUCUUUUAUGAAAUAACGAUGGUGGUAGAGGUUCAAUGAGCCCUAACUUGAAAGGAUAAUAGGGAUAGAAAAGUAGGUGAAGGCAAAGAUCUGAGUGAUUUGACAGGUAAAGACAUCAACAGCCUUCCAAGCCAGAGAGAGAAGCUGGCACCACCAGCAGGAGAGCACAGUGCACAGUGUUAUCAACCAGCUUUGAGAUCCUGAAAGGGGAAAAUGGACAAGUUGGGUUAUCACCGGUGAAUUCUCAAGUGUUGUGCAGAAUCCCCUACAACCUCAAAUGAUGAACUGAAUCAGAAGAGAAUCAAUAGGGAUGAUGAUGCUGUGAUGCACUUGUAGCAUGUAUCUAACAUUUCUAUAGCACUUUAAGGUUUGCAAAGUACUUUACAAAUCCCCAUUCUCCAGAUGAGAUAACUGAGGCAGGCCGUGGUCAAGUGACUUGCCCAAGUUCACAUAGCUAGUAAUUCUCUGGGGUAAUCUCAGUGACUCCAAGUCCGUGAUAAUUAUAAAUUUCUUUUGUUCAGUCAUCUUUCAGUCAUGCCUGAUUAGCUGCCACCCACCCCAUUUGGGGGUUUUCUUGGCAGAGAUACCGGAAUGGUUUGCCAUUUCCUUUCUCAUACGUCAGUAAAAUUCUAGAGACAAUUGACCGGGAGACUGAGGGAACUGGACUUGACCCCAUUUUAGGACAAACUGAAGGAAUGAGGGAAAUUUACCCUGGAAGAUGGCAGGCUUAGGGAGACAAGACAGCCCCUAGAAUUUAGGGACAGUUUUCACAUGGAGAAGGCAUCAAACUUUUUGUUGGCCACAGAGGGCAGUGUUGGGGAAAACGGGUACGAUUUGAAGGGAGGGAGAAAAGAGAAAG
rnacentral:lncRNA from 1 species